rnacentral:rRNA from 1 species
AAAACUAUUAACAACGGAUCUCUUGGCUCUCACAUCGAUGAAGACCGCAGCAAAGCGCGAUAGAUAAUGUGAAUUGCAGACGUGAAUCAUUGAGUUGUUGAACGCACAUUGCGCUUUUCUUUAUGGAAAAGCAUACCUGUGCGAGCGUCAUUUCUCUC